AAUGCAAGCCCUCCUCCAACUCCAAACCCUCUUCCCAAUCCCAUGCCACCAGUACCACACACCAACUCCUUCAACACCGGCGACACGCAACUCUUAACCGUCUCUUCAAUCAAACCCUGCAGACCCCCUUCUUUCACCUGCGCAAAACACACAAAGAGUUAGCCAAUGGGUAAAAAAGAAAAACAAAACUGGAGUCAAGAAAAAUAUUACGAACCACUACCAAAUACAAACGUCAGUCACAGGACGGCACGACGGUAGCGACGAUGUGGGUCACAGGACGGCUCGACGGCAACGAGCGUGCGAUGGCGGCGAGUGUGAUCGACUGUGUGACGGCGGAAUCACUACCAGAUACAAACGUGAGUGACAGAAGGCUAGGGUUGGAUUCCUUUUGUUUGGGUAAAAUUUUAGAUUCCGACGAAUGUAUAUUUUGUCAGAAAAAUUCGUCAGAAAUUUCGCCAGACAAAAAUCUGUGAGUAAAAAUCCGUCAGAAAUUUAUCUGUCGGUCAUUUAAAUAUUUUUAAUGGAAUACAUUCGGUGAAAAAUAUUCUAUUAGGAAUAACUAUUUUUUUUUUUGUCCUGA